UACGGGGGGGGCAAGCGUUGUUCGGAAUUACUGGGCGUAAAGGGCUCGUAGGCGGCCAACUAAGUCCGACGUGAAAUCCGCAAGCUUAACUUGGGAACUGCGUCGGAUACUGGAUGGCUUGAAUUCGGGAGAGGGAUGCAGAAUUCCAGGUGUAGCGGUGAAAUGCGUAGAUAUCUGGAGGAAUACCGGUGGCGAAGGCGGCAUCCUGGACCGACAUUGACGCUGAUGAGCGAAAGCUAGGGGAGCAAACGGG
rnacentral:rRNA from 1 species